UGCUCCCCUUGCAGUCUGGCUCGUGUAUAUCAUUGACACAAUAGGAAUGGCAGGUGUGGACGUUUGGGGUGCAUGAUGACCAUCUUGUUCUUCCUCACUGCGUCGUCGCCGGUACUGUUCGGUCGUCCUCACCAGCACGAGGUCAGAACUGCAAGGAUAAGGAGUAAUGCUACAACUGUAGAUGACAACAAGGUGACUGUGAUAUUUUGCCUAAAGAGGUACUGUUAUACGAAGCCACCACAAGAUUGCUAUUGUUGCUUGCCGACAGACUUGUGCUACAAGACAGAGAGUGACUGCAGGGCGUCGUGCCCUAAUUGCAAUCCCAAGUGCCCGGCAUAGUCUACCCCUUGAAUCGGCCAUUGCAUGCAAUUGGUAUUGUGAUCAACGUGAAUGAUUAUUACACUAAUAAGCAAGAUCUAUAGCACGUGGCGACUGUUCUUCCAUCUUUAUAAUUUGUGUUAUACUUUUGGAUUCUCAAGUGUCAUGAAUUUGUCUCUUCUCUAGUUUAUUUUUUUCA